AACGAACGCUGGCGGCAUGCCUAAUACAUGCAAGUCGAACGAGAUCUUCGGAUCUAGUGGCGCACGGGUGCGUAACGCGUGGGAAUCUGCCCUUGGGUUCGGAAUAACGUCGGGAAACUGACGCUAAUACCGGAUGAUGACGUAAGUCCAAAGAUUUAUCGCCCAAGGAUGAGCCCGCGUAGGAUUAGCUAGUUGGUGAGGUAAAGGCUCACCAAGGCGACGAUCCUUAGCUGGUCUGAGAGGAUGAUCAGCCACACUGGGACUGAGACACGGCCCAGACUCCUACGGGAGGCAGCAGUAGGGAAUAUUGGACAAUGGGCGCAAGCCUGAUCCAGCAAUGCCGCGUGAGUGAUGAAGGCCUUAGGGUUGUAAAGCUCUUUUACCCGGGAUGAUAAUGACAGUACCGGGAGAAUAAGCCCCGGCUAACUCCGUGCCAGCAGCCGCCGUAA
rnacentral:rRNA from 1 species